rnacentral:rRNA from 1 species
UACAGAGGGUGCGAGCGUUGUCCGGAAUCACUGGGCGUAAAGGGCGCGUAGGCGGCUCAGUAAGGUUGCGGUGAAAGCCCGGGGCUCAACCCCGGGUCGGCCGUGGCAACUGCUGGGCUGGAGCACUGUAGAGGCAGGUGGAAUUCCGGGUGUAGCGGUGGAAUGCGUAGAGAUCCGGAAGAACACCGGUGGCGAAGGCGGCGACCUGGUCCUUGACUGACGCUGAGGCGCGAAAGCGUGGGGAGCAAACAGG